CUAAAGGAAGCGAUUAAUUGCACUCAGUUUCGACCUGAAUUUAGGAUAUAUUCCCCUUUUAU
rnacentral:tRNA from 1 species